rnacentral:rRNA from 1 species
UACGAAGGGGGCUAGCGUUGCUCGGAAUCACUGGGCGUAAAGCGCACGUAGGCGGCUUUCUAAGUCAGGGGUGAAAUCCUGGAGCUCAACUCCAGAACUGCCUUUGAUACUGGAGAGCUAGAGUCCGGAAGAGGUGAGUGGAACUGCGAGUGUAGAGGUGAAAUUCGUAGAUAUUCGCAAGAACACCAGUGGCGAAGCCGGCUCACUGGUCCGGUACUGACGCUGAGGUGCGAAAGCGUGGGGAGCAAACAGG